rfam:Felis catus isolate Cinnamon breed Abyssinian chromosome A2, whole genome shotgun sequence.
GCCUGGCUAGCUCAGUCUAUAAAGCAUGGGACUCUUGAUCUCCGGGUUGUGAGUUCAAGCCCCACGUUGGGUG